rnacentral:sRNA from 1 species
AUUUAGCCCUGAUAGCAGUGGAAAUCCUUGCUUUUUUAUUUAAAAAAGCAAGAUUGCAACGGAUAGCAGGAAUUGCG